UACGGAGGGUGCAAGCGUUGUCCGGAUUUAUUGGGUUUAAAGGGUGCGUAGGCGGUUAUUUAAGUCAGUGGUGAAAGGCAGCGGCUCAACCGUUGAAUUGCCAUAGAUACUGAAUAACUUGAAUGUAGUUGAGGUAGGCGGAAUUGACAGUGUAGCGGUGAAAUGCAUAGAUAUUGUCAAGAACUCCGAUUGCGAAGGCAGCUUACUAAGCUAAGAUUGACGCUGAGGCACGAAAGUGUGGGGAUCAAACAGG
rnacentral:misc_RNA from 1 species